CCUACGGGAGGCAGCAGUGAGGAAUAUUGGUCAAUGGACGAGAGUCUGAACCAGCCAAGUAGCGUGAAGGAUGACUGCCCUAUGGGUUGUAAACUUCUUUUAUAUGGAAAUAAAACGUUCCACGUGUGGGAUUUUGUAUGUACCAUAUGAAUAAGGAUCGGCUAACUCCGUGCCAGCAGCCGCGGUAAUACGGAGGAUCCGAGCGUUAUCCGGAUUUAUUGGGUUUAAAGGGAGCGUAGGUGGAUUGUUAAGUCAGUUGUGAAAGUUUGCGGCUCAACCGUAAAAUUGCAGUUGAAACUGGCAGUCUUGAGUACAGUAGAGGUGGGCGGAAUUCGUGGUGUAGCGGUGAAAUGCUUAGAUAUCACGAAGAACUCCGAUUGCGAAGGCAGUUCACUGGACUGCAACUGACACUGAGGCUCGAAAGUGUGGGUAUCAAACAGGAUUAGAUACCCCUGUAGUC
rnacentral:rRNA from 1 species